UUCAACUGCUCAUCUCACUCGAUUUUUGGAACUUUAGAACUCCUCUUCCCAGAAGAGCUCUCGUCUCACCAAGAUGGGUAUUUGUUGUGAUUCUAUGCACAAGAGGCGUGCCACUUGAGGAAAGAAGAAGGCUUGGAGGAAGAAGAGAAAGUAACUAUCUCUGCUCAUAUUGCCCAAAUUAGAUGCUAAUAGGUAUAUGGAAUUGUCGAGGAUCGUUGGGAGGGAGUCCUACAUUGGCUAAUUUAGGAAAUGAUCAUGGGUUUAUAAGUAAGGAAUACACCUCCAGUGG